rnacentral:rRNA from 1 species
CCUACGGGUGGCAGCAGUGAGGAAUAUUGGUCAAUGGACGCAAGUCUGAACCAGCCAUGCCGCGUGCAGGAAGACUGCUCUAUGAGUUGUAAACUGCUUUUGUACGAGAGUAAACGCAGAUACGCGUAUCUGUCUGCAAGUAUCUUACGAAUAAGGAUCGGCUAACUCCGUGCCAGCAGCCGCGGUAAUACGGGGGAUUCAAGCGUUAUCCGGAUUUAUUGGGUUUAAAGGGUGCGUAGGCGGUCGGAUAAGUUAGUGGUGAAAUCCAGAGGCUCAACUGUGGAAUUGCCUCUGAUACUGGUAGGCUAGAGUACAGUUGCGGUAGGCGGAAUGUAUGGUGUAGCGGUGAAAUGCUUAGAGAUCAUACAGAACACCGAUUGCGAAGGCAGCUUACCAAGCUACUUCUGACGUUGAGGCACGAAAGCGUGGGGAGCAAACAGGAUUAGAUACCCCAGUAGUC